rnacentral:tRNA from 1 species
AGGUAUAGCUCAGUGGUAGAGCACAUGCUUAGCAUACAUGACAUCCUGGGCUCAAUCCCCAGCAUCU